rnacentral:rRNA from 1 species
UACGUAGGGUGCGAGCGUUAAUCGGAAUUAUUGGGCGUAAAGCGCGCGCAGGCGGUCCUUUAAGUCUGAUGUGAAAGCCCACGGCUCAACCGUGGAGGGCCAUUGGAAACUGGGGGACUUGAGUACAGAAGAGAAGAGUGGAAUUCCACGUGUAGCGGUGAAAUGCGUAGAGAUGUGGAGGAACACCAGUGGCGAAAGCGCUCUGCUGGACCUUAACUGACACUGAGGGACGAAAGCUAGGGGAGCGAAUGGG